CCGAUAGCCUCGGACGAGAAACUUCACUUUUCUGGGCCUCCCCUUCUGAGCGGUGGCGUUAGCAAAGGGCGUCCCUGCAGACCUUCGGGUCCUGAGAUUCCCCUUUCUGCAGCACUUGCCCUCCUCUGGGCAGCUCAGCGGCCAGCGCGGCGGGGCCUGGAGGCAGAGUCCCUGCCCUCUGGGUCUUGGGUGCCCUCCGAGCGCGUGAUUUCACGGGUGCUGCACUUGAGCUCCGCGAGCAGAAACGCAGCGGCGGGAGCCGGGCCCCAGCCGCCGUCCGCAAGACGGCAGCACCUCGGCUCACGUUUACGCGGCCGCGAGUCCCGGCGCGCGGGCAGCGGGCAGCGGGCAGCGGGCAGCGGGCAGCGGGCAGCCGGCAGCUCCCGGAAGCCUCGCCCCGCCCCCUGGCGCCGCGCCCCGCCCCCUGGCGCCCCGCCCCGCCCCCUCGGCCACUUGCUGCGUGCCGAUUGGUCGCCGCGGUGCGCACGGCGCCGCGCCCCGCCGGCGCCCCUCGCCUCGCGCGCGCCGUCCGCUCCCGGCUCCCGGGCACCGAGGUGGGGCGCGGCGGACGCGCGCUCGGGGGCGGCGUGGGCGUCGCGGCGGCCAGGUGAGUGCGUGGGCCGGUCUCGCGGCGCGCGGGGGGGGUCGCGCCCGUCGUCCGCGCGCGGAGAGGCGCCCCCGGCCGGCCGGGCCUGCGCGGUGCGGCGGCGCCCGCCCGGCCUCCCUGUGCCGCGCCCGGCGCCGCCCGGCGGAUCGGGCCCGCGGACCUCCGCCGCCCCCCUCGCCCCCCGCGCCCCCCGCGGCCCCCGCGGCCCCCGCGGCCCCCGCCCCCCGCCGCCCGCGCGUGCCCCCGGGCCGACCGAGGCCGCGCCGCGCGGGGAGCCGCCGCGUUGCCGGGGCGGCGGGGGGCGGGGGUCCGGGCCCCCAGCACCUCGGCGCCCCUCGGGUUUGCUCCCAGCGAGGGUGGGAAGGGGGUCGGUGAUCCCUGGACUUUCCCGGCUCUGCCCUUGGGAGAGGCCGGUACAGCGGUGGGAAGAGGCGAUGUCCGAGGCUCAGCAUUCCUUGGACAAUUGA
rnacentral:lncRNA from 12 species